GUGGGGAAUCUUGCGCAAUGGGCGAAAGCCUGACGCAGCCAUGCCGCGUGAAUGAUGAAGGUCUUAGGAUUGUAAAAUUCUUUCACCGGGGACGAUAAUGACGGUACCCGGAGAAGAAGCCCCGGCUAACUUCGUGCCAGCAGCCGCGGUAAUACGAAGGGGGCUAGCGUUGCUCGGAAUUACUGGGCGUAAAGGGCGCGUAGGCGGAUCGUUAAGUCAGGGGUGAAAUCCCAGAGCUCUACUAUGGAACUGCCCUUGAUACUGGCGAUCUUGAGUGUGAGAGAGGUAUGUGGAACUCCGAGUGUAGAGGUGAAAUUCGUAGAUAUUCGGAAGAACACCAGUGGCGAAGGCGACAUACUGGCUCAUUACUGACGCUGAGGCGCGAAAGCGUGGGGAGCAAACAGGAUUAGAUACCCCUGUAGUCC
rnacentral:rRNA from 1 species